UUUAAAAUCGGCUGCCUUAUGACCGAUUUUAAAAGUCUGUGAUGCUACUUUUAAAAUCGGCUCCUCAAUAGCCGAUUUUAAA
rnacentral:miRNA from 1 species